rnacentral:lncRNA from 1 species
AAAAUCAGCCAAAAUCAGCCCAAAAUCACCCAAAAUCAGCCAAAAACAGCCAAAAUCACCCAAAACCAGACAGUAACAGCCCAAAACCACCCAAAACCAGCCCAAAACCACCCAAAAUCACCCAAAACCAGCCCAAAACCACCCAAAAUCACCCAAAACCAGCACAAAAUCACCCAAAAUCAGCCCCAAAUCACCCAAAACCAGCACAAAAUCAGCCAAAACCAGCCAAAAUCACCCAAAAUCAGCACAAAUCACCCCAAAUCAUCCCAAAACAGCACAAAACCACCCAAAACCAGCCGAAAACCAGCCCAAAUCAUCCAAAACCAGCACAAAUCACCCCAAAUCAGCCCAAAAUCACCCAAAACCAGCACAAAUCAGCCCAAAAUCAGACAGAAACAGCCCAAAACCACCCAAAACCAGCAGAAAAUCACCCAAAACAACCCAAAUCACCCAAAACCAGCACAAAAUCACCCAAAAUCACCCAAAACCAGCACAAAAUCAGCCAAAACCAGCCAAAAUCAGCCAAAAACCAGCCAAAAACAGCCAAUCCACCCCAAAACAGCCCAAAACAACCCAAAUCACCCAAAAUUACCCAAACUCACCCAAAAUCAGCCCCAAAUCACCCAAAACCAGCACAAAUCAGCCCCAAAUCAGAAACAGCCAAAAACAGACAAUCCAGCCCAAAACAACCCAAAAUCAGCCCAAAAUCACCCAAAAUCAGCCCAAAAUCACCCAAAAUCAGCCCAAAACAGGCAAAAACAGCCAAAAAACAGCCAAAAACAGACAAUCCACCCCAAUACCGCCCAAAAUCAGCCCAAAACGGGCAAAAUCAGCCCAAAAUCACCCAAAAUCACUCAAAAUCAGCCCAAAACAAGUAUAAAAAGGCAAAACCAGACAAAAACCAGACAAAUCCACCCCAAAACAGCCCAAAAUCAGCCCAAAAACACCGAAAACAGGCAAAACCAGACAAAACCAGCCAAAAACAGACAAUCCACCCCAAAACAGCCCAAAUCGCCCCAAAAUCCACCCCAAGCAGCCAAAUUCAUCCCACAACAGCAGAAAA